rnacentral:rRNA from 1 species
CCUACGGGAGGCUGCAGUGGGGAAUAUUGGACAAUGGGGGCAACCCUGAUCCAGCCAUGCCGCGUGUGUGAAGAAGGCCCUCGGGUUGUAAAGCACUUUCAGUGAGGAAGAACGCCUGGUGGUUAAUACCCAUCAGGAAAGACAUCACUCACAGAAGAAGCACCGGCUAACUCCGUGCCAGCAGCCGCGGUAAUACGGAGGGUGCGAGCGUUAAUCGGAAUUACUGGGCGUAAAGCGCGCGUAGGUGGCUUGAUAAGCCGGUUGUGAAAGCCCCGGGCUCAACCUGGGAACGGCAUCCGGAACUGUCAAGCUAGAGUGCAGGAGAGGAAGGUAGAAUUCCCGGUGUAGCGGUGAAAUGCGUAGAGAUCGGGAAGAAUACCAGUGGCGAAGGCGGCCUUCUGGACUGACACUGACACUGAGGUGCGAAAGCGUGGGUAGCAAACAGGAUUAGAUACCCGUGUAGUC